UAGGGAAUCUUCGGCAAUGGGCGAAAGUCUGACCGAGCAACGCCGCGUGAGUGAAGAAGGUUUUCGGAUCGUAAAACUCUGUUGGUAGAGAAGAACGUUGGUGAGAGUGGAAAGCUCAUCAAGUGACGGUAACUACCCAGAAAGGGACGGCUAACUACGUGCCAC
rnacentral:rRNA from 1 species